rnacentral:rRNA from 1 species
CCUACGGGUGGCAGCAGUGAGGAAUAUUGGUCAAUGGGCGGGAGCCUGAACCAGCCAAGCCGCGUGAGGGAAGAAGGUACAGCGUAUCGUAAACCUCUUUUGUCAGGGAACAAAGGCGGGGACUAGUCCCCGGAUGAGGGUACCUGAAGAACAAGCAUCGGCAAACUCCGUGCCAGCAGCCGCGGUAAUACGGAGGAUGCGAGGGUUGUCCGGAUUUAUUGGGUUUAAGGGGUGCGCAGGCGGCCUGUUACGUCAGCGGUAAAAGCCCGGGGCUAAACCCCGGCGAGCCGUUGAAACUGGCGGGCUGGAGUUGGAGAGAAGUACGCGGAAUGCGCGGUGUAGCGGUGAAAUGCUUAGAUAUCACGAAGAACUCCGAUUGCGAAGGCAGCCUGCUGGACUGUAACUGACGCUGAUGCUCGAAAGUGUGGGUAUCAAACAGGAUUAGAUACCCGGGUAGUC